rnacentral:rRNA from 1 species
CGCAGGUUUAUGACUUGUAAAAUUUGCCCUAUGCUUAAACUGUAAAUGGCCGCGUAAGUGCUAAGGUAGCAAAAUCAAUAGCCUAUUAAUUGUAGCCUAGAAUGAAAAAUUAAACUUUUUAGAGAGUAGAUUUUAGGUUAAAAAAAAUUAAUUUUUAUGUGAAAAAGCAAAAGUGCUUUUUUUAGACGAGAAGACCCUAAAACUUUAAAAUAUUUAAUUGGGAUAAUUUUUAAAUUUAAUAAAAAUAUAAAACCUGCUCAGGAAAGACCCUAAAAAGCUAAAUAAAAGUACUUUAGGGAUAACAGCACUACUACGCC